ACUUGAAUUUCAUUAGAGGAGUGGUGGACUCUGAGGAUCUCCCUCUAAAUAUUUCCCAUGAGAUGUUGCAGCAAAGCAAAAUUUCGAAAGUUAUCAGAAAGAAUUUGGUCAAAAAGUGCUUAGAGCUCUUCACCGAACUGGCAGAAGAUAAAGAGAACUACAAAAAGUUUUAUGAGCAAUUCUCUAAAAACAUAAAGCUUGGAAUACACCGGAAGAAGCUAUCAGAGCUAUUACGAUACUACACAUCUGCUUCUGGUGAUGAGAUGGUUUCUCUCAAGGACUAUUGCACCAGAAUGAAGGAAAACCAGAAACAUAUCUAUUAUAUCACAGGUGAGACCAAGGACCAGGUAUCUAACUCAGCCUUCGUGGAACGUCUUCAGAAGCAUGGCUUAGAAGUGAUCUAUAUGAUAGAGCCAAUUGAUGAGUACUGUGUCCAACAGCUGAAGGAAUUUGAGGGGAAAACUUUAGUGUCAGUCACCAAAGAAGGCUUAGAACUUCCAGAAGAUGAAGAAGAGAAAAAGAAACAGGAAGAGAAGAAAACAAAGACAAAAUUAAGAACAAAACAAAGAAGAAAACUAAAGAACUACUUUUAG